UUGACUCCAGCUUCCUCCCAUUUAUGCUUCAUUUGUUUUGUUGUACUUUUUCGGUUUUCAAGACAUAUGGCCUUAAGUUUUUUGUCUUGACGCUUUGAUGUCUUCCUUGGUCUACCAGUACGCUUGGCUUUAAAAACCUUCCCACGCUGUUUGUACUUGGUCCAUAUCUUAGAUACAGCUGACUGUGAACAGCCCACAUCUUUGGCAACCAUGCGUGAAGAGUUACCUUCUUUAAGAAGUUUGACAAUCCUCUCUUUUGUUUCAAGAGACAUCUCUCUUGUUGGAGCCAUGGUUCUUGCCAAUCCACUUGGUCCAGCAGCCCUCCAAGGUGUGAUAACUGCGCUGUUUCUAACUGCAGACGAACGAGCAGAUCUAAUCUGAGGCAUGUGUCAAUUUAGGGAAAGGAAAUUGACUGGUGUUUCUGAAGGCCAAGAAGUUGCACUUUGGAAUGACUAUUAUUGUAUCAUGUUUGUGAUCUCAGUUUGUUCUACAGAAUAAAAUGUCUGAAUGAGUGCUCA